AGUGAACGCUGGCGGUAGACCUAACACAUGCAAGUCGAACGGCAGCACAGUAAGAGCUUGCUCUUACGGGUGGCGAGUGGCGGACGGGUGAGGAAUACAUCGGAAUCUACUAUUUCGUGGGGGAUAACGUAGGGAAACUUACGCUAAUACCGCAUACGACCUACGGGUGAAAGCAGGGGAUCUUCGGACCUUGCGCGAUUGAAUGAGCCGAUGUCGGAUUAGCUAGUUGGCGGGGUAAAGGCCCACCAAGGCGACGAUCCGUAGCUGGUCUGAGAGGAUGAUCAGCCACACUGGAACUGAGACACGGUCCAGACUCCUACGGGAGGCAGCAGUGGGGAAUAUUGGACAAUGGGCGCAAGCCUGAUCCAGCCAUACCGCGUGGGUGAAGAAGGCCUUCGGGUUGUAAAGCCCUUUUGUUGGGAAAGAAAAGCAGCAGGUUAAUACCCCGCUGUUCUGACGGUACCCAAAGAAUAAGCACCGGCUAACUUCGU
rnacentral:rRNA from 1 species